rnacentral:lncRNA from 1 species
UUAGUCACGUUCAACUUCUCCCUCAUCGGCAACCAUCCUCAUCGGCAACUUACCUUGUAAACAUCGUACUGCCACCUUACCUUGCCAUCCUAGACACGUGCCCAAAAACGGUGUCAACACAUGCCCCCCAGUUUCGGAGUAUAAAACUAUUAAUGCUCCGAAACUCUCUGCAGUAAUGAUGCCUUUUUCCCGCAAUUAAUGCUCCUAAUCUGGUAACCGACAACCUCAAUCUGAACAACUCUGAUCCUAUUCCUCCGCAGAUCCCUCGAAAUCCCCAACUUCUUAAACGGGCAUUUCUUCUCAGCCGUAUAUCGGCAAUAAUACCGUUACAAAGGUCUGCCGAUGUUCUGACCAGGAUAUUCGCACAAACGGUUACUUCCCUUCCAUCCGCCCAUCGGCAAU